UGGCGGACGGGUGGUAAGUAACGCGGUGGAAAACCUGCCGUAUACUGGGGGAUAACACUUAGAAAUAGGUGCUAAUACCGCAUAAGCGCACAGCUUCGCAUGAAGCGGUGUGAAAAACUCUGGUGGUAUACGAUGGUUCCGCGUCUGAUUAGCUAGUUGGUGGGGUAAUGGCCUACCAAGGCAACGAUCAGUAGCCGGCCUGAGAGGGUGAACGGCCACAUUGGGACUGAGACACGGCCCAAACUCCUACGGGAGGCAGCAG
rnacentral:rRNA from 1 species